GUAACGCGUAAAGAACCUGCCCUCAGGUCUGGGAUAACCACGAGAAGUCGGGGCUAAUACCGGAUGGGUCAUCGGACCGCAUGGUCCGAGGAUGAAAGGCGCUUCGGCGUCGCCUGGGGAUGGCUUUGCGGUGCAUUAGCUAGUUGGUGGGGUAAUGGCCCACCAAGGCGACGAUGCAUAGCCGACCUGAGAGGGUGAUCGGCCACACUGGGACUGAGACACGGCCCAGACUCCUACGGGAGGCAGCAGUAGGGAAUCUUCCACAAUGGACGAAAGUCUGAUGGAGCAACGCCGCGUGAACGAUGAAGGCCUUCGGGUCGUAAAGUUCUGUUGUAAGGGAAGAACAAGUGCCGCAGGCAAUGGCGGCACCUUGACGGUACCUUGCGAGAAAGCCACGGCUAACUACGUGCCAGCAGCCGCGGUAAUACGUAGGUGGCAAGCGUUGUCCGGAAUUAUUGGGCGUAAAGCGCGCGCAGGCGGCCUCUUAAGUCUGAUGUGAAAGCCCCCGGCUCAACCGGGGAGGGCCAUUGGAAACUGGGAGGCUUGAGUAUAGGAGAGAAGAGUGGAAUUCCACGUGUAGCGGUGAAAUGCGUAGAGAUGUGGAGGAACACCAGUGGCGAAGGCGACUCUUUGGCCUAUAACUGACGCUGAGGCG
rnacentral:rRNA from 1 species